CCACUUGUGAUGCGUAUGGAUGUUUUCCUAGCUAGCUAAUAGCUAGACCUCUGACCAAUCUCUCUUUAACUUCUCGUUUCUUCUUCGACUCUAUUGUGUGUUCUAUCAUCUUGUUGGAGAAGAAGGUGCAUGCUGAGCAGGAUGGAGAAGCAGGGCACGUGCAAUGCUAACUCAUGGUCGACCACAUUUUGUUCUCUGCCUCAUCUUCCAUGGAAGAGGUUCAGUUCAGAGCAGUGAGUUAGUCUUUCAUGUGCCCAUCUUCCCCAUCAUGACCAUAGCACCUUAGUUACGUCACAGCAUCUGGAAAUGCUGCUGAAUGCUUCGCUCAACGAGGACCAGCCAUCAUCACCUGAUCCAUCUCCUAAUAAUAUAAAACGUUCUCUGAUUGAUGCUCCAUAAUAUUCACGUUCAAGUACUGAGGAAGUUGUCUUCUGCCUCACCAUAACCAGAUAUUACUUGAGAAGGGUCUCGUCUUAAUAUUAAGUUUGUCAUAUAUAUGUGGGCCUCCUCGAUGAGUAACCAAAUCACUCUCUCUCACGAGGGAAGUUCCUAUCCAACCGACGAAUGGUCACAUACUCAUUCUGUCAGUGAUAUAUAUAUACACACGUAGGAUGUGUAAGCUCAGUUAGACUAUGAAUAUGAAAUAUUGAUUAUAUAUUAUAGUUGAUGGAUUGGUUCA